UACAGAGGUCCCGAGCGUUGUUCGGAUUCAUUGGGCGUAAAGGGUGCGUAGGCGGCGGGGCAAGUCUGAUGUGAAAUCCCGGGGCUCAACCCCGGAACUGCAUUGGAUACUGCCUUGCUUGAGUACUGGAGAGGAGACUGGAAUUUACGGUGUAGCAGUGAAAUGCGUAGAUAUCGUAAGGAAGGCCAGUGGCGAAGGCGAGCCUCUGGACAGUUACUGACGCUGAUGCACGAAGGCCAGGGGAGCAAACGGG
rnacentral:rRNA from 1 species